UCCAAUCGGCGCCGCUUCAACAAAAACAACAGCAAAUUAAAUUCUCUCUUUCUCCAAUCCAUACCCUGUUACAAAUUCCUUCUCUUUCCCGUCCCUAAUAAUCUCAUAAUUAAUUUCUUCUCUCAAUUGAUAUUGGACAAUGGAAUCGUCACUCUUCACUCCAAUUUUCCAGGAGAAUAUCACUGUCCACUGCUGAAUAAAGUUUUCAUUGAGUUUACACACUUUGUUGUAGUCAAGACUACUGGAAAAUGGUGAUGAUUAGUUGGAUAGAAUGGCAUUUAGAGUAACACAAGGUGGAAAAUCUCCAGGUGUAUAGAAGGCAUUGCUUGAAGUUAUCAACCCAUACAAGGGAACAAGUCUUCUUCAAAGCUGGAUGAUCAAGUGCUACUUUGACAGAUAUUCUGUCACAGGGAUUACACUUGAGCAUUUUUGGCAGGUGCAUAAGUGAAUAUAGUUACUCCCAAAGUUUAGUAAGAAGGAAAAGAAGAGACACAUUAUUGAACACUUAAAGUGAAAGUGAUAUGCUGUGUAUUGAUUGGAAAUAGGUAUUCUUUGUGAAUAUAAGGCCGCUAUGUCACAAAUGGGGGAAUUGAUAACUAUGCUUUUUUAAUCACUUUUGUCAUGAUUCAUUUUAAAGUAACUUGGUUGUUGCAACAAUUUUAAUUUCGAAAUCUUUAAUAAUUGUGUAGUCUAAACUAAUUAAGUAACGGAAUAAAUUUCUAUUUGU